rnacentral:misc_RNA from 1 species
AACGCACAUUGCACCCAUUGGUAUUCCGAUGGGUAUACUUGUUUGAGCGUCAUUUCAUUCUCCUUUUGGGGUUUUAGCUUGAUUUAAAUCUCGCUGAAUUAUAGUGGUGUCGCUACCAGACUACAACGUGAUAGAUAUUUCGUUGGAUGUGACUGGGAAUUGCUCACCUUAAAACUAGAUUAUAGACCUCAAAUCAAGCAGGACUACCCGCUGAACUUAA